rnacentral:lncRNA from 1 species
GGGCCGUCAGGAGGCGCCGUGAGGCCGCGGUUCGGGCACAGGAGGCGGCGCGGGCAGCCCGAGGGAGGAGGUUCUUCCGCGCUCCCGUCACGUAGCUGGGCUUAUUGCACGGCGGGUUCUUCAGAAAGUGCUUUUGGAAAGUGCGAUGGGCCGAUAUUCGACGUGAAGGAGGACUUCUAAGACCACCUAGUCCAACCAUCAGCCCACCCCACCCCACCAUGCCCACUGACCACGUCCCUCAGUGCCACAUCCACACGGCUCUUGAACGCCUCCAGGGACGGUGACUGCACCACCUCCCUGGGCAGCUGUGCCACUGCCUUCUGAGAAGAAUCUUUUCCUACUAUACAACCUGAAACGUUACAUCUCACAAGGAUGACUGGUAGCAGGCUUGUUUUUACUGGUUCUGCCGCCAUCUAAAAGUGCAGACAAAAGUAAAGAUAAACAUAUGAUAUUACAGCAACUUGAGAAAGAUUAAAAAUACCUGCACGAAGCAGGUGUUUAGCUUACAGCAUGACAUACAGCAAGCCAGCACCACUCAGCUCUCAGGACCAAGUCUUUUACACAACCUGUGUUUGUUGAAGGCACUGUUCACAUCUCGGUGUUGCAGGGAUGAUGAUGGAAAUCCCAAAGACCAUCCUUCAGAGCAGUAUUGUUCUCACAACUGUCUGUAAAAACAUGGUCCCUCCAUUGCUUUCGUUCAUUAACUUGAACUAGAGAACUGCAUGAGGACAUUCCAAUUUUAAGGUAU